UUAAGCGACUAAGCGUACACGGUGGAUGCCCUGGCAGUCAGAGGCGAUGAAGGACGUGCUAAUCUGCGAUAAGCGUCGGUAAGGUGAUAUGAACCGUUAUAACCGGCGAUUUCCGAAUGGGGAAACCCAGUGUGUUUCGACACACUAUCAUUAACUGAAUCCAUAGGUUAAUGAGGCGAACCGGGGGAACUGAAACAUCUAAGUACCCCGAGGAAAAGAAAUCAACCGAGAUUCCCCCAGUAGCGGCGAGCGAACGGGGAGCAGCCCAGAGCCUGAAUCAGUGUGUGUGUUAGUGGAAGCGUCUGGAAAGGCGCGCGAUACAGGGUGACAGCCCCGUACACAAAAAUGCACAUGCUGUGAGCUCGAUGAGUAGGGCGGGACACGUGGUAUCCUGUCUGAAUAUGGGGGGACCAUCCUCCAAGGCUAAAUACUCCUGACUGACCGAUAGUGAACCAGUACCGUGAGGGAAAGGACGAAAAGAACCCCGGCGAGGGGAGUGAAAAAGAACCUGAAACCGUGUACGUACAAGCAGUGGGAGCACGCUUCGGCGUGUGACUGCGUACCUUUUGUAUAAUGGGUCAGCGACUUAUAUUCUGUAGCAAGGUUAACCGAAUAGGGGAGCCGAAGGGAAACCGAGUCUUAACUGGGCGUUAAGUUGCAGGGUAUAGACCCGAAACCCGGUGAUCUAGCCAUGGGCAGGUUGAAGGUUGGGUAACACUAACUGGAGGACCGAACCGACUAAUGUUGAAAAAUUAGCGGAUGACUUGUGGCUGGGGGUGAAAGGCCAAUCAAACCGGGAGAUAGCUGGUUCUCCCCGAAAGCUAUUUAGGUAGCGCCUCGUGAAUUCAUCUCCGGGGGUAGAGCACUGUUUCGGCAAGGGGGUCAUCCCGACUUACCAACCCGAUGCAAACUGCGAAUACCGGAGAAUGUUAUCACGGGAGACACACGGCGGGUGCUAACGUCCGUCGUGAAGAGGGAAACAACCCAGACCGCCAGCUAAGGUCCCAAAGUCAUGGUUAAGUGGGAAACGAUGUGGGAAGGCCCAGACAGCCAGGAUGUUGGCUUAGAAGCAGCCAUCAUUUAAAGAAAGCGUAAUAGCUCACUGGUCGAGUCGGCCUGCGCGGAAGAUGUAACGGGGCUAAACCAUGCACCGAAGCUGCGGCAGCGACGCUUAUGCGUUGUUGGGUAGGGGAGCGUUCUGUAAGCCUGUGAAGGUGUGCUGUGAGGCAUGCUGGAGGUAUCAGAAGUGCGAAUGCUGACAUAAGUAACGAUAAAGCGGGUGAAAAGCCCGCUCGCCGGAAGACCAAGGGUCCCUGUCCAACGUUAAUCGGGGCAGGGUGAGUCGACCCCUAAGGCGAGGCCGAAAGGCGUAGUCGAUGGGAAACAGGUUAAUAUUCCUGUACUUGGUGUUACUGCGAAGGGGGGACGGAGAAGGCUAUGUUGGCCGGGCGACGGUUGUCCCGGUUUAAGCGUGUAGGCUGGUUUUCCAGGCAAAUCCGGAAAAUCAAGGCUGAGGCGUGAUGACGAGGCACUACGGUGCUGAAGCAACAAAUGCCCUGCUUCCAGGAAAAGCCUCUAAGCAUCAGGUAACAUCAAAUCGUACCCCAAACCGACACAGGUGGUCAGGUAGAGAAUACCAAGGCGCUUGAGAGAACUCGGGUGAAGGAACUAGGCAAAAUGGUGCCGUAACUUCGGGAGAAGGCACGCUGAUAUGUAGGUGAAGUCCCUCGCGGAUGGAGCUGAAAUCAGUCGAAGAUACCAGCUGGCUGCAACUGUUUAUUAAAAACACAGCACUGUGCAAACACGAAAGUGGACGUAUACGGUGUGACGCCUGCCCGGUGCCGGAAGGUUAAUUGAUGGGGUUAGCGGUAACGCGAAGCUCUUGAUCGAAGCCCCGGUAAACGGCGGCCGUAACUAUAACGGUCCUAAGGUAGCGAAAUUCCUUGUCGGGUAAGUUCCGACCUGCACGAAUGGCGUAAUGAUGGCCAGGCUGUCUCCACCCGAGACUCAGUGAAAUUGAACUCGCUGUGAAGAUGCAGUGUACCCGCGGCAAGACGGAAAGACCCCGUGAACCUUUACUAUAGCUUGACACUGAACAUUGAGCCUUGAUGUGUAGGAUAGGUGGGAGGCUUUGAAGUGUGGACGCCAGUCUGCAUGGAGCCGACCUUGAAAUACCACCCUUUAAUGUUUGAUGUUCUAACGUUGACCCGUAAUCCGGGUUGCGGACAGUGUCUGGUGGGUAGUUUGACUGGGGCGGUCUCCUCCUAAAGAGUAACGGAGGAGCACGAAGGUUGGCUAAUCCUGGUCGGACAUCAGGAGGUUAGUGCAAUGGCAUAAGCCAGCUUGACUGCGAGCGUGACGGCGCGAGCAGGUGCGAAAGCAGGUCAUAGUGAUCCGGUGGUUCUGAAUGGAAGGGCCAUCGCUCAACGGAUAAAAGGUACUCCGGGGAUAACAGGCUGAUACCGCCCAAGAGUUCAUAUCGACGGCGGUGUUUGGCACCUCGAUGUCGGCUCAUCACAUCCUGGGGCUGAAGUAGGUCCCAAGGGUAUGGCUGUUCGCCAUUUAAAGUGGUACGCGAGCUGGGUUUAGAACGUCGUGAGACAGUUCGGUCCCUAUCUGCCGUGGGCGCUGGAGAACUGAGGGGGGCUGCUCCUAGUACGAGAGGACCGGAGUGGACGCAUCACUGGUGUUCGGGUUGUCAUGCCAAUGGCACUGCCCGGUAGCUAAAUGCGGAAGAGAUAAGUGCUGAAAGCAUCUAAGCACGAAACUUGCCCCGAGAUGAGUUCUCCCUGACUCCUUGAGAGUCCUGAAGGAACGUUGAAGACGACGACGUUGAUAGGCCGGGUGUGUAAGCGCAGCGAUGCGUUGAGCUAACCGGUACUAAUGAACCGUGAGGCUUAACCUU
rnacentral:rRNA from 1 species